CUGACCUCAAAUCAGGUAGGACUACCCGCUGAACUUAAGCAU
rnacentral:rRNA from 1 species